rnacentral:rRNA from 1 species
AAGGGACAGCAGCAGCCGCGGUAAUACGUAGGGUGCGAGCGUUAAUCGGAAUUACUGGGCGUAAAGCGUGCGCAGGCGGUGCUGCAAGACCGAUGUGAAAGCCCCGGGCUUAACCUGGGAACUGCAUUGGUGACUGCAGCGCUGGAGUAUGGCAGAGGGGGGUGGAAUUCCACGUGUAGCAGUGAAAUGCGUAGAGAUGUGGAGGAACACCGAUGGCGAAGGCAGCCCCCUGGGCCAAUACUGACGCUCAUGCACGAAAGCGUGGGGAGCAAACAGGAUUAGAUACCCGGGUAGUCCCUGUCUCUUAUAC